rnacentral:rRNA from 1 species
UAAAAGCUUGGUCCUGGCUUUUCUGUCAUCUCCGGCUAAAUUUACACAUGCAAGUAUCCGCACCCCCGUGAGAAUGCCCCACAGUCUCCCUCCCCGGGGACAAGGAGCUGGUAUCAGGCACAUUAAUAUGCCCGCCCACGACACCUUGCUCAGCCACACCCUCAAGGGAAUUCAGCAGUGAUAAACAUUAAGCCAUAAGUGAAAACUUGACUUAGUUACAGCCCCCAGGGCCGGUAAAACUCGUGCCAGCCACCGCGGUUAUACGAGAGGCCCAAGCUGACAGCCCCCGGCGUAAAGAGUGGUUAAGUUAACCCUAAUGUGACUAAAGUCGAACGCCCCCAAGACCGUUAUACGUGCUCGGAGGUAUGAAGCCCAACUACGAAAGUGGCUUUAAAAUACCUGACCCCACGAAAGCUGUGAAACAAACUGGGAUUAGAUACCCCACUAUGCUCAGCCCUAAACUUUGAUAGUCUAACUACACUCACUAUCCGCCUGGGUACUACGAGCUUUAGCUUAAAACCCAAAGGACUUGGCGGUGCUUAAGAUCCACCUAGAGGAGCCUGUUCUAUAACCGAUACCCCCCGUUUAACCUCACUCUUUCUUGUUCAUUCCGCCUAUAUACCGCCGUCGUCAGCUCACCCUGUGAAGGCCCUGUAGUAAGCAAAAUUGGCACGACCCAAAACGCCAGGUCGAGGUGUAGCGUAUGAAAGAGGAAGAAAUGGGCUACAUUUCCUAAACAGGAAACACGGACAAUAAACUAAAAUAUGUAUUAGAAGGAGGAUUUAGCAGUAAAUGAGAAACAGAGAGUCUCAUUGAAAUCGGCCCUAAAGCGCGCACACACCGCCCGUCACUCUCCCCGAAACAAGAAUCUCUUAUAUAUAAUUACUUAUAUAAAUAUAAGGGGAGGCAAGUCGUAACAUGGUAAGUGUACCGGAAGGUGCACUUGGAUAAAC